ACUCGCGAAUGCANCUAGGAUUUAAAGUUUGAUCAUGGCUCAGAAUNCCAACGCUNUACGGCGUGCCUAACACAUGCAAGUCGAACGCGAAAGUCCCGCAAGGGAUCAGUAGACGUGGCAAACGGGUGAGUAACGCGCUGGGUGACCUGCCUUCGAGCGGGGGAUAACGUUCCGAAAGGGACGCUAAUACCGCAUAACAUCCUGCCUUUUAAGAGGUGGAGAUCAAAGCCUGGGACCGCAAGGCCAGGCACUCGAAGAGGGGCCCGCGUCCGAUUAGCUAGUUGGUGGGGUAAUGGCUCACCAAGGCUCCGAUCGGAUAUCCGGCCUGAGAGGGCGGACGGACACACUGGGACUGAGACACAGGCCCAGACUCCUACGGGAGGCAGCAGUAGGGGAAUAGUUCGCAAUGGGCAGCAAGCCUAGACG
rnacentral:rRNA from 1 species